UAUCUCUCAACCCUAUCUUGGAGAAGCCAGGGAGGGAACUUGGAAUCUUAUGCUCUUCCAAGAGUGGCUCCAUUCCCUAAGGGGAAUAUCUUACAGUGCUCACACACCACGUCUCCCAUUCCUAUGCAUCCUACCAGGGCGGACAAGUUGCUGUCACAGACAAAGAGGAUCAGAGCUGUUGCUGGACAGAGAGCUGAGAAAUCCCUGGGAGAAUGUGAGUCACUCCCAAAGCAGCUGAAGAAACAGUCGGGGAUUGAACCCCCAGAACUGUGAAGGAAGAGCAGGACCUGAGGCUGAGCAAGGGACAAGCCACGCUUGCUGCAGAAGCUGGCUAGGGAAUGGUUGUGUUCUCUGAUGAAGGAUCAUCCGAAAUGGGCUCAAGAAUCCCGGGUUAGCCUAUAAGGACUCUUUCAUAGGACUUUUUCCAGCUUGGCAAGACUUCAUUUUCACUUAAGAAGUUUCUGUCCUUUUUUGUGAUGCUAUAUUCCUCUACAUGCAUACUUAGACAUUAUCUACAAUAUUAGUGUUACUGUCACUCAUUUAGGAAUUUUCAUCAUUGUCAGAGUUUUCUCAUUUUUUCAUUAUUCUUCAUAUGGACUAGUAUACAUUUUUUAUAUAUUCAUGCUGUUUUUUGCAAUAUCCAUGUGCCUGUUCAUAUGUAUAUUCAUUCCUUGUUAUGACAUUUGAUUUAUUCAAUGAGUUGUAAUAUUUGGUUAUAUGCAUGUGCAGAUUUAUCUGCUAGAUUGUUGCUACUUUUUCUAGUUUCUCUAGACUACUGAUUGGUAUUGUUAUUCAUUACCCUUGACCUAUAAUAUAGCAUCUCAAGGAUUGUUAUAUGGA